rnacentral:piRNA from 1 species
UGAGGAGUCAGGAAUUCUAUGCCUCCAAU